CAGGAGGACAAGCAGAGCACACCCCACCCCCACGACCCUCCCACCUCCCUCUGCCCGCUGCCAGCCCGCCACCCUCCCUUAAAUACCCCCCCGCGCGCCUCUCCCCUGUCACGUGCCCGGAGGGGCGGCACCCUAUUGGCCGAGGGGCGGGCGGGCGGCUCCUCCCCCCCUCCCUCUCCUUCCCGCCCUCCUCACGUGAGGGGGGCGAGUCACGCGAUUUCCGGGAACCCGUCAGGAAGGGACAUAAACAAAACAAACCCGCAGCCGCAUGGAGGGUCCGGCCCGCAGCCCGCGGGGCGGCGCCCCCUGCUGAGCCCCGGCCGCUCGGUGAGUGCUGGGCCGCGGGGAGGGAACGGAGGCGCCGGGACUCGGCCUCACCCAGCCCCGGGGCGGGGGGGGGGGGGGGCCCCGGUGGCCUGGCGGGGCCCCGGGGGGGGGGGGGGGGGGGGGGGGGGGGACCCCUGGGGGGGGGGUGAGGAGGAGGAGGAGGAGGCCGUGAGGGGGGUGCGGGCAGCGAGGGCUGGGGCUCGCCAAGCGGCUGGGAGCGGAGCCGCAGCAGCCCCGCCGCCCGCUGGCUGCACAGCCGGGGGGGUGUGGCUGUGCCGCUGCUCGGAGCUGCGGGGGGCUGCCCGCGUCCCCACGGGCCGGGGUCGGGCUGCGGGCUGCUGGGGAGCCCCUGCAGGCUGGCGGGAGCAGCCCGGGGCCGUGCGGGCUGAGGGAGCCGCGGGACGGCUCCGGGCUCCUUGUGAGGGGGCCCCUCCCCGGGGUGCCGCCGGCCGCACUCGUGCUCCGGGACGCCGCCGCCCCGCCGCGCUGCCUCCUCUCCAGCCCCCCGCUUCCCACCUGUUGCAGCCGGGAGGCUCCGGCUGUAACCCACAGCGGGGGCCGGGGCCUUUCUACUCGCCCCCGGGGCUGCGCGGAGCCGCCCGGGCGGGCCGCGGGGCUGCACCGGCGACCGGCGGCAGCCCGCGGGGACGGAGCAUCGCCGGGGGGAGCGGUGGGGGGGGGGGUGCCGGCCGUCCCCAGCCCCCGGGAGGGCCGCAGGGCGGGGGGCGGCCCCCACAGGGCAGGGGGAGCCCCCGGCUCGCUGCCCGCCGGGCCUGGGGGGGGCCGGGACGCGGGGCCCGGUGCGGGCCGGGGGCGCUGCCCCGCGGCGCGGCGGAAGGGGGUUUGUUUACAUGUCGCCUCAGCCAAGCUUGA
rnacentral:lncRNA from 1 species